CUCAUUUGUCAAAGGGAUGCUUUAAAGAUAAUUCCCUUUGCCUGCAGCUCCUGCUCGUGUGCGAAGACAGCUCUUCUGUCUUUAGGUGAGUGCUUUCUAACCUUAGUCUCUGGUUGAACAUUGUUGUUAGUCAUUUUCUUUUGUCUCUGCGACAAAGUACCCAGAGACAGACAACUUCCUGGAUGGAAUAAUUUAUUUUGAUUAACAAUCUCAGAGCUUUUCAGUCUGUGACUGGCUACUUCUGGGGUCUGGCAGAAGAAUUUGGUGGAAAUGAGCUGUUUAUUUGAGGGCAUCCAGGAAGGAGGGGGAGGGAGAGUGAGGCGGGGAGGGAGAAGGAGAGGGAAGGGGGAGGAGAGGGGGAGAGAGAGAGUGGUAGGGAGAGGAGGAGGGAGAGAGGGAGGGGGAGGGACAGGACAGGGAGUGGGGUAGAGUUCCAGAAUAUACCUCAACUGUCAUGUUUCCUCCAUCUUAGCCUAGGUCGAUCAGUGUGAAUUGAACAAUACAUAGAUUCAUUGAAGGACAUUAGUGCUCUUACUAUCCAAUCAUCUCCCAGUAGCACCACCACCUAGGGACUCAGCCCUACAAAAUAGGAAACUUUGGACAACACUUUUUUUUCCUUUUCCUUUCUCCUCUUUUUCUUUCUUCCUUCCUUUGUGUUUUGUAUGCCUGCAUGUUUGUAGGAGGGGGGCUCCGAUCGCCUGGAGCUGGAGGUACAGACAUGAAUGAGCUGCCGUGUAGAUGCUGGGAAUUGAACCCGGAUCCUCCGUAAGAUCUGCUGACCUAUCUCUCUGGCCCCGGGAACAUUUGUGAAGAGAUGCCCACUUUUGUAGCUCAGGCUCUCUCAGCUGGCUGACUAAGGGAAAAGAGACUGCACAGUUUUCAAUCAGAAAUCUUCAGGCCCACAGGUUUGGUCCAAGGUGCCAGAGUCUGUAUGCUCUCUUUGUGACUGGCCUGGAUGGAAGAUGAAGCAAUCCAUACCUUAUAAAUUGGACUGUCCACACCACAGACAGCUUUCUCAAACUCUCCUGUACACAGCUCCACAUCCUCGCCUUAGAGUUAUACAAAGGCUGAAUUAAGUAUACAGGGUGUUCUGCAAUGAUCACUGGAGCCGGUCCUUAGCUGGAAGAGAAUUCUCAACACCUGCUUUCACUUUUGUUGUUCAGGGCUGGAUUAAAGGCAUUUAAAAGGACAAAGUCAGCUCCUGGGGAGAAGAGGAAGUGCCAGACAAUCGUAGGAUGUUAGUGGCUAAUUGUUUUACCGACACCUUCUCACUUUUUAGCUGAAAAGCAAAGACUUAUGCAAAGCCCAAACCACCACACCAAACGGAAGGAUCUUUAGGAAAACAAGGAGACAGAUUGUUGAUGCUAAAAUGUAGAUGGGCCUUUCUCAGACCAUUACAGUCGAGGUUUAAAAUAGUAGGCUCUGACCCCUUGCUAGGAGGUUAAAAGUGAUUGAAAACCCCAGGUCUUUUGAAACUGUCUAGGCUGGCGGCAAACCUUGAGUUUGUCUUUAUGACCUUUGCACGUGUAAAUAUAGGGGAGUUAUUUUGGACGGCUUUAAAAGAGUGUUAUAAAAAGCAAGUUUUCAGGCUUUUGUCCUUGAGG
rnacentral:lncRNA from 1 species